rnacentral:lncRNA from 1 species
UUUGAGUUUGAUCUCCAGAACUCAUAAGAUGGAAAGGUAGAACCAAAUCCUGCAAGUAGUUCUGAGUUAUACACACACACACACACACACACAAAUAUAUAAUUUUAAAAAUAAAGAUGAUUGAGACAGUAUACUUGUUCAAAUGAUGAAUAGUAUGUAUUCCUAGGUAGUAGAGAACAGUUUUUUUAAUUGAUUUUUAUUUUUACUUAUUUAUUUAUUUAUUUAUUUAUUUAUUUAUUUAUUAUAUGUAAGUACACUGUAGCUGUCUUCAGACACUCCAAAGAGAUCAUCAGAUUUUGUUAUGGAUGGUUGUGAGCCACCAUGUGGUUGCUGGGAUUUGAACUCAGGACCUUUGGAAGAGCACUCGGCGCUCUUAACCACUGAGCCAUCUCAUCAGCCCUCCUUUAAUUGAUUUUUAAAUCACACACACACACACACACACACACACACACACACAUAUAUUAAUGGGAAGUUUCAUAAAUUUGAUCACCAUGUCAAUAUUAUGAAAGGAGAGAAUUACUGUUCAGAGGAAGCUUGUUUUUGAGCAGGGAAGGGAAGAAAGGCUGUGCCAACUUACUCUGGAGCACACAAGUCAGAAGAUUAGUGCAUCUGUGCAUUUUAAAAUGUUACUAUAGUACCUUCUGCCAGGGCAGAUCAUCAGCUUGUCUGCCUCUCUGAAGACCCCACAGUCUGAAGGCCUCCCAGGAGAUCUGCUGUACCCCGGGCAAGGAAGGUAAAGGACCCUCUGAAGUAACCACAGCAGCUGGGACUACUGAGGAGCUCAACAGACUUAGGACCUAUCCCCUCCACUUGAAUUUCACCUCCCCUCUGGUCUGCACCUUCUGCCUGGGAAGAUCAUCAGUUUAUCUGCCCCUGUGAAGACCCCACAGCCUGAAGGCCUCCCUGGAGACCCGCAGCACCCCAAGGACACAGAAAGCACGCUCCAGAGAGAGACAACCAAGCCAGUUAACACCAGAGAUAACCAGAUGGCAAGAGGCAAGUGCAAGACCAUAAGCAACAGAAGUUAAUAUACUUCAGCACCCUCAGAACCAAGUUCUCUCACCACAGCAAGCCCUGGAUACCCCAACACACUUGAAAAUCAUGAUGCUAACCUAAAAUCCUAUCUCAUGAAGAUAACAGAGUUCUUUAGGGAAGAUAUAAACAACUCACAGAAAGAAAUACAGGAAAAUACAGGGAAACAGGUAGAAGCCCCUAAAGAAGAAACAAAAAGAAUCUCUUAAAGAAAUACAGGAAAACACAAUCAAACAGGUGAAGGAAUUGAACAAAGCAGUCCAAGACCUAAAAAUGGAAGUAGAAACAAUAAAGAAAUCACAAAUGGAGGCAACCCUGGAAAUGGAAAACCUAGGAAAGAGGUCAGGAGCUACAGAUGCAAGUAUCAACAACAGAAUACAAGAGAUAGAAGAGAGAAUCACGGCAUAGAAGAUACCCUAGAAGAUACUGACACAACAGUCAAAGAAAAUACAUUAAAAAACUCCUAACCCAAAACAGGAAAUCCAGGACACAAUGAAAAGAUCAAACCUAAGUACAAUCGGAAUAGAAAAAAGUGAAGAUUUCUAGCUCAAAGGACCAGAAAAUGUCUUCAACAAAAUUAUAGAAGAAAACUUCCCCAACCUAAAGAAAAAGAUGGCCAUAAAUGUACAAAAAGCCUACAGAACACCAAAUAAAUUGGACC